GUAGAAAUAAUCGAUCAGGAGCUACUGACUACUGGAGAUACAGGAGAUAACUUUGCUGGGUAAAUUAGGCAGUUUCCAACGCUUUUGAAAUUACCAGCAAAUAAGAAGACCAAGAAUACAACAAAGCAACCAAUUUCUUCGGAUGCCUCAAAUUUUCACAAUUGGGUCAAUGAACCACUACAAGCUACAAAGGACAGUUUUGAGAGCUGGUUCCGUUUGGUGUUGACCAAAAAUACAAAUGACGGAUAAUUUUAUUUUAUUUUAUUUAAUAAUGUUUAUUAAUAUUAAGAUUAAGAUUUAAUAAUAAUUUUUUUUAAAUAUUUUCAUAA